CUGGGUCGGGCGCGGCCCAGGGAGGGGAACUCUUUCCCCUAGGGCCCCUUCCCCUCAGGGUCGGCGUGAAGGGGCAGAAGAGGCGCUGGGACCUGGGCCGAGGCAGGGCCGCCGGCGCUGGGGAUCUGCCAUGGGGAGGGGACAAACCCGACGUUGUCGAAGGGUCACUGAGGAAGGAGCUGGCCAAGCCCUUUGGGCUUCAGCAGCCGGCAGCCCCGCUGAGCGGCUGCAGGGGUAUAGGGGUCGCUCCCCUCUGGCCAAGUCCGGCUCUCAGGAGCGUUUGAUUAUAGAAAGCAAAAAGUGAGGUGGAGAAAAUAGAGAAACUAUUAGAGAAAAUAGAGGUGGAGGGGCUACAUGACUUACAUAGAAAAACCCAACACUGAUCAUCCUUACCACCUUAACAAUUAGCACAGCAUCAGCUUGUAUGAAAAUUAUGGAAGUACUUACAGACACCUAGUAACCUUCAGACAAUCUACUGUUCACAGAGCAACACCACAGAGAAGAAGGGUGUUCCCCUGUGUAAAAAUAAAUUUUUUUGG